UGGCUGAACCAUCCUAUCUCAUUUACCAAGUUUAUUUUCUUUUUCUUAGUGUGAAAGUAGAGAGAGAAAGAAAAAGUGAGAUGUAAGGGCAAAGUUCUUCACCAUCUUCAUCUUCUUCUCAAAACUUCCCUAAUAUUACCCCUAGCACCACCAUCACUUCAUGUUUUGCUCUUCUCUUCUUCAUUAAAGAGCCUUUGAUUGAAACGAAGGUUGAAUAAAGCUUAACAGAUCCUCCAUUUUUGAAGCUCUUUACUGAUCAGCUACGGGAAUUGGAGAAAUGUUGUAAUGAAAUGGGAGAAAAUGCCCUUGAUCAGAAUCUCUACCAGGAAAUUGCUGCAAAUUUUAGUGCUGGGAAUAAAACUUCCAAAUCAUGGGAACAGGAGCAGCAGUGGUUCCAAAAUAAGCUUAAAGAGUCAGAGGAUCAAGUUGCUUCAGCGGGCACAAUGAAUCAACGUGUUGAUCUUUCAGAUACACUCUUUUAAAGAAAUGGAAGGUCUAUACAGUUCUAGAAGGUUGUCCUUUCCCUUAGCGUGAGUUUGGGUAACACAUUUGCAAAUUCCAUGAAAUCGAUUAAAUUCCUUGAUUUAUAAAAUCUCUUGUUUCCUUCAGUUGCAAUAUCCCCUAGUUUGAUAGAACAAUUCAAUUUCCUUCAUUUUCAAACAUUUUGUUGUUUAAAGUAAA